rnacentral:rRNA from 1 species
UACGGAGGGUGCAAGCGUUAUCCGGAUUUACUGGGUUUAAAGGGUGCGCAGGCGGAUAUGUAAGUCAGUGGUGAAAUCCCCGGGCUUAACCUGGGAAUGGCAUUUGGGACUGCAAGGCUUGAGUGCGGCAGAGGAGACUGGAAUUCCUGGUGUAGCAGUGAAAUGCGUAGAUAUCAGGAGGAACACCGAUGGCGAAGGCAGAUCUCUGGGCCGUAACUGACGCUGAGGAGCGAAAGCCAGGGGAGCAAACGGG